rnacentral:rRNA from 1 species
GAUGAACGCUGGCGGCGUGCUUAACACAUGCAAGUCGAACGAAGCAUUUAAGACAGAUUUUUUCGGAAUGAAGUUUUUUAUGACUGAGUGGCGGACGGGUGAGUAACGCGUGGGUAACCUGCCUCACACAGGGGGAUAGCAGUUGGAAACGACUGGUAAUACCGCAUAAGCGCACAGCUUCGCAUGAAGCGGUGUGAAAAACUCCGGUGGUGUGAGAUGGACCCGCGUCUGAUUAGGUAGUUGGUGAGGUAACGGCCCACCAAGCCGACGAUCAGUAGCCGACCUGAGAGGGUGACCGGCCACAUUGGGACUGAGACAGGCCCAGACUCCUACGGGAGGCAGCAGUGGGGAAUAUUGCACAAUGGAGGAAACUCUGAUGCAGCGACGCCGCGUGAGUGAAGAAGUAUUUCGGUAUGUAAAGCUCUAUCAGCAGGAAGACAGUGACGGUAC